AGAUUGAACGCUAGCGGGAUGCUUUACACAUGCAAGUCGAACGGCAGCGCGGACUUCGGUCUGGCGGCGAGUGGCGAACGGGUGAGUAAUAUAUCGGAACGUGCCCAGUAGCGGGGGAUAACUACGCGAAAGCGUGGCUAAUACCGCAUACGCCCUACGGGGGAAAGGGGGGGAUCGCAAGACCUCUCACUAUUGGAGCGGCCGAUAUCAGAUUAGCUAGUUGGUGAGGUAAAGGCUCACCAAGGCGACGAUCUGUAGCUGGUUUGAGAGGACGACCAGCCACACUGGGACUGAGACACGGGCCCAGACUCCUACGGGAGGCAGCAGUGGGAAUUUGGACAAGUGGGGAAACCUGAUCCAGCCAUCCCGCGUGUGCGAUGAGGCCGUUGGGUUGUAAGUCACGUUUUGACGAGGAAGAACGGCGU
rnacentral:rRNA from 1 species